UACAGAGGUCUCAAGCGUUGUUCGGAUUCAUUGGGCGUAAAGGGUGCGUAGGCGGCGCGGUAAGUCGGGUGUGAAAUCUCGGAGCUUAACUCCGAAACUGCAUUCGAUACUGCCGUGCUUGAGGACUGGAGAGGAGACUGGAAUUUACGGUGUAGCGGUGAAAUGCGCAGAUAUCAGGAGGAACACCGGUGGCGAAGGCGGAUCUCUGGGCCAUUACUGACGCUGAGGCGCGACAGCGUGGGGAGCAAACAGG
rnacentral:rRNA from 1 species